rnacentral:rRNA from 1 species
CUUGCUUCUUGGGUGGCGAGUGGCGAACGGGUGAGUAAUAUAUCGGAACGUACCGAGUAAUGGGGGAUAACUAAUCGAAAGAUUAGCUAAUACCGCAUAUUCUCUGAGGAGGAAAGCAGGGGACCUUCGGGCCUUGCGUUAUUCGAGCGGCCGAUAUCUGAUUAGCUAGUUGGUGGGGUAAAGGCCUACCAAGGCGACGAUCAGUAGCGGGUCUGAGAGGAUGAUCCGCCACACUGGGACUGAGACACGGCCCAGACUCCUACGGGAGGCAGCAGUGGGGAAUUUUGGACAAUGGGCGCAAGCCUGAUCCAGCCAUGCCGCGUGUCUGAAGAAGGCCUUCGGGUUGUAAAGGACUUUUGUCAGGGAAGAAAAGGCUGUUGCUAAUAUCGACAGCUGAUGACGGUACCUGAAGAAUAAGCACCGGCUAACUACGUGCCAGCAGCCGCGGUAAUACGUAGGGUGCGAGCGUUAAUCGGAAUUACUGGGCGUAAAGCGAUCGCAGACGGUUACUUAAGCAGGAUGUGAAAUCCCCGGGCUCAACCUGGGAACUGCGUUCUGAGCUGGGUGACUAGAGUGUGUCAGAGGGAGGUAGAAUUCCACGUGUAGCAGUGAAAUGCGUAGAGAUGUGGAGGAAUACCGAUGGCGAAGGCAGCCUCCUGGGAUAACACUGACGUUCAUGCUCGAAAGCGUGGGUAGCAAACAGGAUUAGAUACCCUGGUAGUCCACGCCCUAAACGAUGUCAAUUAGCUGUUGGGCAACUUGAUUGCUUAGUAG